rnacentral:rRNA from 1 species
AGCGAACGCUGGCGGCAGGCCUAACACAUGCAAGUCGAACGAACUCUUCGGAGUUAGUGGCGGACGGGUGAGUAACACGUGGGAACGUGCCUUUAGGUUCGGAAUAACUCAGGGAAACUUGUGCUAACACCGAAUGUGCCCUUCGGGGGAAAGAUUUAUCGCCUUUAGAGCGGCCCGCGUCUGAUUAGCUAGUUGGUGAGGUAAAGGCUCACCAAGGCGACGAUCAGUAGCUGGUCGGGGAGGAUGAUCAGCCACAUUGGGACUGAGACACGGACCAAACUCCUACGGGAGGCAGCAGUGGGGAAUCUUGCGCAAUGGGCGAAAGCCUGACGCAGCCAUGCCGCGUGAAUGAUGAAGGUCUUAGGAUUGUAAAAUUCUUUCACCGGGGACGAUAAUGACGGUACCCGGAGAAGAAGCCCCGGCUAACUUCGUGCCAGCCGCCGCCGUAA